GGAACCAGAGGACUCAUUGCUCUGCCUGCUCCGAAAAGUAUUUUUAUUUUAUUUUAUUUUAUUUUAUUUUAUUUUAUUUUAUUUAUUUUUGAACUGAGAAUUACAAGGGACGAAGUUUUAUUAUUGAGGCAGAUUGUACCAUCAUCAUAACCUGAGAAACGUUAGAAACAUCUGAACUUUCCUUCAACAGAAAC
rnacentral:lncRNA from 1 species